rnacentral:rRNA from 1 species
GAUGAACGCUGGCGGCGUGCUUAACACAUGCAAGUCGAACGAAGCACCUCUCCCGAAGAUUGACACAGCUUGCUGUAGAUUGAUUCAUUUGAGGUGACUGAGUGGCGGACGGGUGAGUAACGCGUGGGUAACCUGCCUCAUAGAGGGGGACAACAGUUGGAAACGACUGCUAAUACCGCAUAGUAAGAAGAAUUCGCAUGUUUUCUUCUUGAAAGAUUUAUCGCUAUGAGAUGGACCCGCGUCUGAUUAGCUAGUUGGUAAGGUAACGGCUUACCAAGGCGACGAUCAGUAGCCGGCUUGAGAGAGUGAACGGCCACAUUGGGACUGAGACACGGCCCAAACUCCUACGGGAGGCAGCAGUGGGGAAUACUGCACAAUGGGGGAAACCCUGAUGCAGCGACGCCGCGUGAGUGAAGAAGUAUUUCGGUAUGUAAAGCUCUAUCAGCAGGGAAGAUAAUGACGGUACCUGACUAAGAAGCCCCGGCUAACUACGUG